AAAAAGUGCAGUAUCUUGGCGGUUGAUGUUUUAGUCUUGACGUAGUUAAAUCAUGAUUACAAGCUCAUUGCAUUCAAGUUUGAAAAUGGGAGGACAUUCAUGUGCAAUUUUACCUUCAAAACUCAUAUUUACGAUUAUUCCGAGAGCACGUGAAGACAGCAUUAGCAGCAAAGAUAAAUUACAUCUUUAUUGUGUCUGUUACCCUUUUGUGCUAAAUAUUUCUGCAAUACAUAUAUAGGAUUUACGCUGCAGAUUACGGACACUGAAGACCAUAAGCAGAAAGUUCAAGUCUGGGUGGCCAAAAGUUACAUUUCAGUGACCUGGUUACCGCCUCUCUCUGCAAACACAAAGGAUCACUUUCCUCAGUGGAUCUACCCCAAUCAUCAUAAACGGGCCCCAGUGGAGAGAGUGAGCAGGUUCAAAUACCUUCAGAUGCCCUGCAAAGAGUAGCUGAGCACAUGUCCAGAACAUCUCUCCCCUCUCUGCAAGAUAUCCACACCAGGAGAUGUAAAUCUAGGGCUGUUAAGAUCCUUAAAGACCCCACCCACCCUGGAAAUCCACUGUUUCAUCUGCUACAGUCAGGCAGACGCUUCUGCAGUCUGAUGGCAAAGACGGAGAGGCUCAGGAGGUGUUUCUUCCCUCAUGUUAUCAGACUACUAAACAUGGACAUUAAACACACUGCACUUUAUAGACUGGUUGUUUAGGGCUACCCAAUAACUCUCUGCACACUGCGCUUUUUUGACAACCUAACUAUGCAACUCAUCCUCACUGCACAUUGUUUACAUCUCUGCACAUCAUCUGUGUAGCAGUUUCUGUGUAGCAUCUCUACAAAUCAUCGGUGUAGUAGUUUAAUACAGUAUAUUGUGUAUAUUUUUAAUUUUUUGUAUUUAAUUAUCUCCAAAAAAAAAAAAAACUUUUUAUUUUUUUCCUGUUGUUUCAUUAUUUGUAUUUAAUUUUCUCUUAUUUUUUUGCACAGUCUAAAAAGAGUAUGCCAGACCUACAUUUGACUGCUUUUUGCAUGUCAUAUAUCAAAUAAAACUUUAAUUUUUAAUGGUCUAGAGCGUUACCUGUGAUUGAGUUGGUGAUAAAAAGGAGAUGGGGAAAAGAGUGUCUUAAAUUGGACUUUGGUAGCAAUAAUAUUUUCCUCUUAAGUCUUGGAAUGUUUUUUUUAUUAUUAUAAAUUCUUGUAUUACUAUUUAGAUUUUUUUUCUUUUUUUAAAUUAAAUGUUUAUUUGUAAAAUUUA